UGGGGAAUAUUGGGCAAUGGGCGAAAGCCUGACCCAGCAACGCCGCGUGAAGGAAGAAGGUCUUCGGAUUGUAAACUUCUUUUAUGAGGGACGAAGGACGUGACGGUACCUCAUGAAUAAGCCACGGCUAACUACGUGCCAGCAGCCGCGGUAAUACGUAGGUGGCAAGCGUUAUCCGGAUUUACUGGGUGUAAAGGGCGCGUAGGCGGGGAUGCAAGUCAGAUGUGAAAUCUAUGGGCUCAACCCAUAAACUGCAUUUGAAACUGUAUCUCUUGAGUGCUGGAGAGGUAGAUGGAAUUCCUUGUGUAGCGGUGAAAUGCGUAGAUAUAAGGAAGAACACCAGUGGCGAAGGCGAUCUACUGGACAGUAACUGACGCUGAGGCGCGAGAGCGUGGGGAGCAAACAGGAUUAAAUACCC
rnacentral:rRNA from 1 species